UACAGAGGUCCCAAGCGUUAUCCGGAUUCACUGGGUUUAAAGGGUGCGUAGGUGGGCAGGUAAGUCAGUGGUGAAAUCUCCGGGCUUAACCCGGAAACUGCCAUUGAUACUAUCUGUCUUGAAUACCGUGGAGGUGAGCGGAAUAUGUCAUGUAGCGGUGAAAUGCUUAGAUAUGACAUAGAACACCAAUUGCGAAGGCAGCUCACUACACGAAUAUUGACACUGAGGCACGAAAGCGUGGGGAUCAAACAGG
rnacentral:rRNA from 1 species